rnacentral:lncRNA from 1 species
GACAAGAAGUAACAGGACCAGAGGGUGGGGGCUGCUGUUUCCAUCGGCCCACACCAUGCUGACCCCGCCGUUGCUGCUGCUGCUGCCCCUGCUUUCAGCUCUGGUCGCCGGGGCCACUAUGGAUGCCCCUAAAACUUGCAGCCCUAAGCAGUUUGCCUGCAGAGACCAAAUCACCUGUAUCUCGAAGGGCUGGCGGUGUGACGGGGAAAGAGAUUGUCCGGACGGCUCUGAUGAAGCCCCCGAGAUCUGUCCACAGAGUAAAGCCCAGAGAUGCCCACCAAAUGAGCACAGUUGCCUGGGGACCGAGCUGUGUGUCCCCAUGUCUCGUCUCUGCAACGGGAUCCAGGAUUGCAUGGAUGGCUCAGAUGAGGGUGCUCACUGCCGAG